rnacentral:rRNA from 1 species
AUUGAACGCUGGCGGCAGGCCUAACACAUGCAAGUCGAACGGUAACAGGAAGAUGCUUGCUUCUUUGCUGACGAGUGGCGGACGGGUGAGUAAUGUCUGGGAAACUGCCUGAUGGAGGGGGAUAACUACUGGAAACGGUAGCUAAUACCGCAUAACGUCGCAAGACCAAAGAGGGGGACCUUCGGGCCUCUUGCCAUCGGAUGUGCCCAGAUGGGAUUAGCUAGUAGGUGGGGUAACGGCUCACCUAGGCGACGAUCCCUAGCUGGUCUGAGAGGAUGACCAGCCACACUGGAACUGAGACACGGUCCAGACGCCUACGGGAGGCAGCAGUGGGGAAUAUUGCACAAUGGGCGCAAGCCUGAUGCAGCCAUGCCGCGUGUAUGAAGAAGGCCUUCGGGUUGUAAAGUACUUUCAGCGGGGAGGAAGGGAGUAAAGUUAAUACCUUUGCUCAUUGACGUUACCCGCAGAAGAAGCACCGGCUAACUCCGUG